rnacentral:ribozyme from 14 species
ACAUCAUGAAAAAGAAGAAGAAGAAGUCAUACGAACAAAAAGAAGAAGAAAGAAAAAUAGAAGGGCAAAAACAACGCAAAAAAGACUGCGCCUUGGUUUGAGAGCUCAGCUCAGGGUUUUUCUUCAUCAUCAUCAUCUUUUUUGCUGCUAUUGUGUUUUGGCUGGCUGCCCGUGGGCAUCCUUUGUAUGUCGAUUGUAUUUAACACCCUCAAAUUUGAGGGCUUAUAAAAAAAAAAGUCGUGGCAGUUGGAGUUGGCUUCUUGUGCUUUUGUGAGAAUAAAAGUAAGAAUGAAGGGGGUUAUACAGCUUGCCCUGCUUUUCUUUUA